rnacentral:tRNA from 2 species
GUCCCCAUAGCUCAACGGACAGAGCGCAGCCCUGCGGAGGCUGAGAUCGAGGUUCGAUUCCUCGUGGGGAUACUA